UACGGGGGGGGGCAAGCGUUGUUCGGAAUUACUGGGCGUAAAGGGUUCGUAGGUGGCCUACUAAGUCAGACGUGAAAUCCCUCGGCUUAACCGGGGAACUGCGUCUGAUACUGGAUGGCUUGAGAUUGGGAGAGGGAUGCGGAAUUCCAGGUGUAGCGGUGAAAUGCGUAGAUAUCUGGAGGAACACCGGUGGCGAAGGCGGCAUCCUGGACCAACACUGACGCUGAGGAGCGAAAGCCAGGGGAGCAAACGGG
rnacentral:rRNA from 1 species